rnacentral:rRNA from 1 species
CCUACGGGUGGCAGCAGUGGGGAAUAUUGCACAAUGGGGGAAACCCUGAUGCAGCAACGCCGCGUGAAGGAAGACGGUUUUCGGAUUGUAAACUUCUGUUCUUAGUGAAGAAUAAUGACGGUAGCUAAGGAGCAAGCCACGGCUAACUACGUGCCAGAAGCCGCGGUAAGACGCAGGUGGCAAGCGUUGUCCGGAAUUACGGGGUGUAAAGGGAGCGCAGGCGGGAAGCAAAGUCAGAGGUGAAAACUACGGGCUUAACUUGUAGACUGCAGUUGAAACUGGUUUUCUUGAGUGAAGUAGGGGUUGGCGGAGUGCCGGGUGUGGCGGUGAAAUGGGUAGAUAUUCGGAGGAACACCGGGGGCGAGGGCGGCCAACUGGGCUUUAA